UUCCAAUAAAUCGAUGAGAAAUGAUAAAUCAUUCGGCUGACCACGUGCCAGCAUUUGACAGGGUUUCCAAGCCACCGGUUGAACUUUAUUGUAUUUCUGAAAAGGGCAGAACAAUUACAGAAUAUUUUGAGACAACGAUCGACCUUCAUUAGCAUUGUGUUCGACCAUUUAGGACUUUGAGCAUCAAAAAAGGAGCCAGUCAGAAAAUAGGAAGAUAAGAAAUAAAGCUUGGACAAGACUUGGUUGCAAGGAAAAGUUUUUCGUUGGCGUUCUUUUUUAUCAGAAAGAAAAUCCUUGGAGAAACAUGGUACCAUAUAAGCCGAAGUACUUGCAGACACAGGAAUACUCUAUACUUGGCGACGACAAGUGGUGUUUCCAGAGACAAUGCAGGCACUAGCAAAUAACUAGAAGAGCUAAAAGAAACCAUAAAUCACUCGAGUAAUCCAGAGUCUACGUGUGCAGUUAGACGAACAUGACGUAGUUGCUGUACGGGUGCAUAUAAAUACUGAUAUAACACUCUAAUGAACUGACCUUUAACUACAAAACUCAUCUGAGUGUGGUUGAAAUAUCAUUACACGAGAUCAGAGGCUGAAGUAAAUUAACAAAUUUCUCAGGUGUUCCAAUAAAUCGAUGAGAAAUGAUAAAUCAUUCGGUUGACCACGUGCCAGCAUUUGACAGGRUUUCCAAGCCACCGGUUGAACUUUAUUGUAUUUCAUGGAAAGAGCAAGAAUUCAGACCAAUCAUAUAUACAGAAUACUUGAAGAUACUUGAAAGUGCUUCAUAUGAUAGAGACAAUUGAAGGUUUAAAGAUAUGGAGCAGGUCAGGCGUGGUGGAACAUUGUCAGAAGGCAUUUGACUUGACUAGACUUGCGCAAAGAGAUAGGCAAAUGUACACAAAAAGUGAGUAGGAAAAUAUUAACUGAGUCAUAGAUUUCAGAGAGUAAAUUUGCGUAGUUGAAGUGACUUCUUUUCUUUCUUUGUUUGUUUSUUUCAUUCAUUCAUUCAUUCAGUCAGUCAUCAGUCAUUUUUCCUUCCUUCCUUCCUUCCAUCCU